rnacentral:tRNA from 1 species
UCCCGUGUAGCUCAGUUGGUAGAGCGUGACGCUUGAAACACCAGGGUUGUGGGUUCGAUUCCCAUGAGGGAC